rnacentral:misc_RNA from 1 species
GAUGAAGAACGUAGCGAAAUGCGAUAAGUAAUGUGAAUUGCAGAAUUCAGUGAAUCAUCGAAUCUUUGAACGCACAUUGCGCCCGCCAGUAUUCUGGCGGGCAUGCCUGUUCGAGCGUCAUUUCAACCAUCAAGCCCCCGGCUUGUGUUGGGGACCUGCGGCUGCCGCAGGCCCUGAAAACCAGUGGCGGGCUCGCUGUCACACCGAGCGUAGCAGAUUUUCAUCUCGCUCAGGGCGUGCUGCGGGUUCCGGCCGUAAAAAGCCUUAUUUACCCAAGGUUGACCUCGGAUCAGGUAGGAAGACCCGCUGAACUUAAGCAUAUCAAUAAGCGGAGGA